rnacentral:rRNA from 1 species
AACGAACGCUGGCGGCAUGCCUAACACAUGCAAGUCGAACGAUCCCUUCGGGGAUAGUGGCGCACGGGUGCGUAACGCGUGGGAACCUGCCCCUAGGUUCGGAAUAACUCAGAGAAAUUUGAGCUAAUACCGGAUAAUGUCUUCGGACCAAAGAUUUAUCGCCUUUGGAUGGGCCCGCGUUGGAUUAGCUAGUUGGUGGGGUAAAGGCCUACCAAGGCGACGAUCCAUAGCUGGUCUGAGAGGAUGAUCAGCCACACUGGGACUGAGACACGGCCCAGACUCCUACGGGAGGCAGCAGUGGGGAAUAUUGGACAAUGGGCGAAAGCCUGAUCCAGCAAUGCCGCGUGAGUGAUGAAGGCCUUAGGGUUGUAAAGCUCUUUUACCCGGGAUGAUAAUGACAGUACCGGGAGAAUAAGCCCCGGCUAACUCCGUG